rnacentral:rRNA from 1 species
GGUUCUUUGUUUUGUUUAUAGUGAGAUAGGGAAUCGGGCCUGCCCAGUGACGUUAAUGUUAAACGGCCGCGGUAUAUUAACCGUGCAAAGGUAGCGUAAUCAUUUGCCUAUUAAUUGUGGGCUAGUAUGAAUGGCUUGACGAGGAUAUAGCUGUCUCUUGUUUAAGGUAUAUGGAAAUUAUUUUUUAGGUGAAGAAACCUAAAUAUAGUCGAGGGACGAUAAGACCCUAUCGAGCUUAAGUAGAGCUCUAGGAGUAGGUUGAGGUAUAAAAUAUCUUGUAACCAAGGAUGAAUCUUUGAUUGGGGCGAUCGAGAAGUAAAAGUAACCUUUUGUUGAGUAUUUGGGCUUGUAGGUAAAGAAUUGAUAUAUGAUAUAGAUGAAAAGAGGAAGUUACCGUAGGGAUAACAGCGUAAUCUUUUUGGAGAGUUCUUAUUGAAAAAAAGGUUUGCGACCUCGAUGUUGGACUAAGAUUUCCUGGGGGUGUAGCAGUUUCUAAGGGUUGGUCUGUUCGACCAUUAAAAUCUUACA